GAUGAACGCUGGCUACAGGCUUAACACAUGCAAGUCGUUGGGAAACGCCUGCGCAGCUUGCUUCCCCGGGCGUCGACCUGCGCACUGGUUAUUAACUCCUAUCCAACUUGCCUCUGACUGCUGGCUACCCCUUCGCAUGUCGGCCUACUACCUCAUGCUAUCGUCUGCGUGCAUCCCACGACGAUUAAACCUUUCUUCGGUUAGGUAUGGGUAGGCGUCUGAUUAGCUUGUUGGCGGGGUAACGGCCCAUCAAGGCUACGUUCAGUAGGUGUUCUGAGAGGAAGGGCACACACGGUGGAACUGAGACACGGUCCAAACGCAUAAGGGAGGCAGCAGUGAGGAAUAUUGGUCAAUGGACGAGAGCCUGAACCAGCCAAGUAGCGUGCAGGAAGACAGGCCUAUGGGUUGUAAACUGAUUUUAUGCGGGGAUAAAGUGAGGGACGUGUCCCUAAUUGCAGGUACCGCAUGAAUAAGGACCGGCUAAUUCCGUG
rnacentral:rRNA from 1 species